rnacentral:tRNA from 1 species
AAGGAUUUAAGUUAAAAAGCAAACUAAUAGCCUUCAAAGCUGUAAAUAGGCUAGGCCUAAGCCUUA